rnacentral:rRNA from 1 species
GAUGAACGCUGGCGGCGUGCCUAAUACAUGCAAGUCGAGCGAACAGACGAGGAGCUUGCUCCUCUGACGUUAGCGGCGGACGGGUGAGUAACACGUGGAUAACCUACCUAUAAGACUGGGAUAACUUCGGGAAACCGGAGCUAAUACCGGAUAAUAUAUUGAACCGCAUGGUUCAAUAGUGAAAGACGGUUUUGCUGUCACUUAUAGAUGGAUCCGCGCCGCAUUAGCUAGUUGGUAAGGUAACGGCUUACCAAGGCAACGAUGCGUAGCCGACCUGAGAGGGGGAUCGGCCACACUGGAGCAGAGACACGACGCACACUCCUACUGGGGGCGGCAGUAGGGGAGCUUCCUCAAUGAGGGAAAGCCGGAUGGAGCAACACCGCGGGGGGGGUGAUGGACUUCUUAUCUUAAAACACUGUUAUUAUGAGAGAACAAAAAAUGAGUAAGCAAUGCACGACGUGACGAUGCCAAAUCAGAAGAACACGGCGGACAACUUG